rnacentral:sRNA from 1 species
UGAUUUCUGUUUUCCCUACGUUGAUGAC